AACGUAGGGGGCCAGCGUUGCUCGGAAUUACUGGGCGUAAAGGGUCCGUAGGCGGUGUGGCACGUCGGUUGUGAAAUCUCUGGGCUUAACUCAGAGGCUGCUUCCGAAACUGCUGUGCUAGAGUGCGAGAGAGGCGAGUGGAAUUGCGGGUGUAGCGGUGAAAUGCGUAGAUAUCCGCAGGAACAUCCGAGGCGAAAGCGGCUCGCUGGAUCGCAACUGACGCUGAGGGACGAAAGCUAGGGGAGCAAACAGG
rnacentral:rRNA from 1 species